GGGAUUGCCUUAGUAACUGCGAGUGAAGCGGCAAAAGCUCAAAUUUGAAAUCUGGCGUCUUCGGCGUCCGAGUUGUAAUUUGGAGGGAUAACUUCGGGGUUGGCGCCGUCCUAAGUUCCUUGGAACAGGACGUCACAGAGGGUGAGAAUCCCGUGCCUGGAUGGCUGUCCAACUCCAUGUGAAGUGUCUCCGACGAGUCGAGUUGUUUGGGAAUGCAGCUCAAAAUGGGUGGUAAAUUUCAUCUAAAGCUAAAUAUUGGCGAGAGACCGAUAGCGCACAAGUAGAGUGAUCGAAAGAUGAAAAGCACUUUGAAAAGAGAGUUAAAAAGUACGUGAAAUUGUUGAAAGGGAAGCGCUUGCGACCAGACUCGAUCUUUGGUGAUCAGCCGGGCUUCUGUCCGGUGCCCUCGCCAUUGAUUGGGCCAGCAUCGGUUCUGACGGCGGGAUAAAAGGAGGAGGAAUGUGGCUCCCUUCGGGGAGUGUUAUAGCCUCCUUCACAAUGCCGCCAGUUGGGACCGAGGACCGCGCUUCGGCUAGGAUGCUGGCGUAAUGGUCUUAAGCGACCCGUCUUGAAACACGGACCAAGGAGUCUAACAUCUAUGCGAGUGUUCGGGUGGAAAACCCUUGCGCGUAAUGAAAGUGAACGGAGGUGUGAACCCUUUACGGGGUGCAACAUCGACCGGUCCUGAUGUCUUCGGAAGGAUCUGAGUAAGAGCAUAGCUGUUGGGACCCGAAAGAUGGUGAACUAUGCCUGAAUAGGGUGAAGCCAGAGGAAACUCUGGUGGAGGCUCGCAGCGGUUCUGACGUGCAA
rnacentral:rRNA from 1 species